rnacentral:rRNA from 1 species
GAUGAACGCUAGCGGCAGGCCUAAUACAUGCAAGUCGAACGGUGUCUUCGGACAUAGUGGCGCACGGGUGCGUAACACGUAUGCAACCUACCUUACAUUGGGGGAUAGCCUUUCGAAAGGGAGAUUAAUACCGCAUAAGACAGUAGCUGGGCAUCCAGCAGCUGUUAAAGAUUUAUCGAUGUAAGCUGGGCAUGCGUCCAAUUAGCUAGUUGGUGAGGUAACGGCUCACCAAGGCAAUGAUUGGUAGGGGAACUGAGAGGUCAAUCCCCCACACUGGCACUGAGAUACGGGCCAGACUCCUACGGGAGGCAGCAGUAGGGAAUCUUGCGCAAUGCGCGAAAGCGUGACGCAGCAACGCCGCGUGGGGGAAGAAGGCCCUCGGGUUGUAAACCCCUUUCAGGGGGGACGAAGGUAAGGCCGGUGAACAGCCGGUCGGACUGACGGUACCCCCAGAAGAAGCUCCGGCUAACUACGUGCCAGCAGCCGCCGUAACAC